rnacentral:rRNA from 1 species
CGACCGGCGCACGGGUGAGUAACGCGUAUGCGACCUGCCCGUUGCAGGGGGGAUAAUCGGGAGAAAUCCCGUCUAAUACCGCGUAACGCCGCGGGGCUGCAUGGCCCUGCGGCCAAAGGGAGCGAUUCCGGCAACGGAUGGGCAUGCGUGACAUUAGCUAGUUGGCGGGGCAACGGCCCACCAAGGCGACGAUGUCUAGGGGUUCUGAGAGGAAGGUCCCCCACAUUGGAACUGAGACACGGUCCAAACUCCUACGGAAGGCAGCAG